rnacentral:rRNA from 1 species
UACGUAGGUGGCAAGCGUUGUCCGGAGUUAUUGGGCGUAAAGCGCGCGCAGGCGGUGCGGGAAGUCUCUGGUGAAAGCGCUCGGCUUAACUGGGCGAGGGCCGGGGAGACUGCCACGCUGGAGGGGGGCAGAGGCGAGUGGAAUUCCGGGUGUAGUGGUGAAAUGCGUAGAGAUCCGGAGGAACACCAGUGGCGAAGGCGGCUCGCUGGGCUCUACCUGACGCUGAGGCGCGAAAGCGUGGGGAGCAAACAGG